AGAGCGAACGCUGGCGGCAGGCUUAACACAUGCAAGUCGAACGGAUCCUUCGGGGUUAGUGGCGGACGGGUGAGUAACACGUGGGAACGUGCCUUUUGGUUCGGAACAACUCAGGGAAACUUGAGCUAAUACCGGAUGUGCCCUUCGGGGGAAAGAUUUAUCGCCAUUAGAGCGGCCCGCGUCUGAUUAGCUAGUUGGUGAGGUAAAGGCCCACCAAGGCUACGAUCAGUAGCUGGUCUGAGAGGAUGACCAGCCACAUUGGGACUGAGACACGGCCCAAACUCCUACGGGAGGCAGCAGUGGGGAAUCUUGCGCAAUGGGCGAAAGCCUGACGCAGCCAUGCCGCGUGAAUGAUGAAGGUCUUAGGAUUGUAAAAUUCUUUCACCGGGGACGAUAAUGACGGUACCCGGAGAAGAAGCCCCGGCUAACUUCGCGCCAGCAGCCGC
rnacentral:rRNA from 1 species